rnacentral:rRNA from 1 species
CAUAUAAGUAAGCGGAGGAUGAGAAACUAAACAGGAUUCCCUCAGUAAUGGCGAAUGAACAGGGAUUAGCUCAGUAUGGAAAUCUGGGUCUGUGGCCCUGAAUUGUAACCUCGAGAUGUACUGCCAACGGAGGCGCAGACGUAAGCCUCUUGGAAAAGAGCUUCAUUGAGGGUGAGAUGCCCGUUCUUGUCUGCAGUCCCCCGUGCACGGUGUAUGUUCUGAGAGUCACGUUCCUUGGGAUUGGAGCGCAAAUUUGGUGGUAAAUUUCAUCUCAAGNUAAAUAUUGGUUCAAGACCGAUAGCAAACAAGUACCAUGAGGGAAAGGUGAAAAGGACUUUGAAAAGAGAGUUAAAAGUGCCUGAAAUUGCUGAAAGGGAAGCGAAUGGAACCAGUCUUGCUGGAUGAGAUUGUUGCACGCUAAGUGGAUGGCUUGCUGGUGCAGCGCAAGCGCCUCAGUGAGUUUUGAAAUGUACGCGUGUGGUGCUUCUCGUCUUGUGUGUCAGCGCUGAUUCACCUGUGGGUACAACUCCACGCACAUGGAAGUUCAUCUAUGGGUGAGCGAACGUGUGUGGCAGAACUCACGAGUGAAUUGAAAGUCUGCGCUUGGUGACAACACUUGUGCCCUGCUCU